UCCGAAUCGAUGUAACAUAGUAAAUUCUAACACUCAAAUUAUUGCAAUGAUUGUCUGAAAAAUAGUGAUGUGCAACAUAUUAAAUUAUAAAUUAUUCACAUUACAAUUAUAACUUCAUCCAUUUCAUGAAAGGCAUAGGGGUUUGUAAUAAAACAUGAAGCGUGAAGAAAAUCACAAGUGCAACAAUUAAAUUAUAUGCAUAAAACUAUUUUUAAAAUUGAAAACAAAAUUUGAUACGUCUAAAUUGAAGGUCGUGUUGAUAUCUUUGUAUAUAUGAAGGAAGAAGACUUUUUUUUUUUUGACAAACCUAAAACCUAUAUUAUCCAAACGUUUUAUUACUAUAAAACCUAUUGACUUUUUUUUUAACGGCAAAAUAUAUUAUUAUUAAUAACCGGUCUAACUCAACACCACUUAAUGGAUGAACCCUUCUAAACCCAUACUUAGAAGGACAAUCCUUAGCCUUCAAACCACCAAAGAAACUAUAAUUAAGUCCAACUCAAAAAGAUGCCACUAAACUCUAACUCCCGAACUCGAAUCAAAAGUGUUCGGCCCAUCAUAAUCCAAAAAGAAGCUCCUCGAGUCAAAACUGAUGGGGCAACGGUAGAGAGAAAAUCUAGGCAGAUAAGUCUCGGCUCGCAGUCCGCCUCCAACCAGUCAACAUAAAUGCGGAAGAGGUCAACCCGAUACGAAGAAACCUGCAAAUCUCAACAAAUUUGAAAGUGGUCAGAGAAUCUCGUAUCGAAUAAAGCUCAUCACACACGACAUCAACCACACACCAGUGGUGCCAAAUCCAACACUUCCACGUCAGCACCUCACCANNNNNNNNNNNNNNNNNNNNNNNNNNNNCACCACAAGAAGAAGAAGAAGAAGAAGAAGAAGAAGAAGAAGAAGAAGAAGAAGAAGAAGAAGAAGAAGAAGAAGAAGAAGAAGAAGAAGAAGAGACAAAUUAAAUAAUAUUAUUUGUUGUCUUAUUUCAUUUCAAUAAAGUCAUCUUAGAUUACAAAUCCAUAACCACAAGGAUCUUGAAAUUAAAAAUAAAAAUAAAAAGAAAAUAGAAUCAAAUUAUUUUGUGCGAAUUCAGCAAAUAAAUGACAGCUCAUGGAAUAUUCUAACAUGAUAUUUGUGUACUCUCUUAGCUUUGACAAUAAAAAAGAAUUGCAUGCACUUAUUUUUCCGGGUACAAUUUUGCAACACAUUUACAUAUUCUGGCGUCGAUGCACUUUGGUUUCAUACGAGGGUCAGGGCACAUAUCUUUUGGACAAUCAGAAUCAGUAAUACAUUUAAAAAAUGUUGCUGAUUGAAAAGAAAAAAAAGAAUUAUAACAAAUAUUAUAAAUAUUGUGAAAGAAGUAAAGGAGAAAAUUUAAAAAGGGUUAAAAAAAAAAUGACUUACCUUCAACAUUUGUUGCAAUAAAAAGUAGGGAAAAAAAGAUAAUCAGAAUACAAACAAACUUAAUAAAUUCAGUCAUAUUUCUCCCUUUUACAUAUAACAAAUUAUUUGAUUUAUAAUUUAUAAAUCUAAUUUCCUUGUAUCAAUUAAAUAGUGUUUAGCUCUUCUAAAGUUGUAAAAAAAAAAAAAA
rnacentral:lncRNA from 1 species